GCCAGACUCCUACGGGAGGCAGCAGUGAGGAAUAUUGGUCAAUGGGCGCGAGCCUGAACCAGCCAAGUAGCGUGAAGGAUGACUGCCCUACGGGUUGUAAACCUCUUUUGCCGGGGAGCAACGGGGUCCUUGCGAGGGCCCGAUGAGAGUACCCGGAGAAAAAGCAUCGGCUAACUCCGUGCCAGCAGCCGCGGUAAUACGGAGGAUGCGAGCGUUAUCCGGAUUUAUUGGGUUUAAAGGGUGCGUAGGCGGGCUGUUAAGUCAGCGGUCAAAUGUCGGGGCUCAACCUCGGCCUGCCGUUGAAACUGGCGGCCUCGAGUGGGCGAGAAGUAUGCGGAAUGCGUGGUGUAGCGGUGAAAUGCAUAGAUAUCACGCAGAGCUCCGAUUGCGAAGGCAGCAUACCGGUGCCCGACUGACGCUGAGGCACGAAAGCGUGGGUAUCGAACAGGAUUAGAUACCCCUGUA
rnacentral:rRNA from 1 species